rnacentral:tRNA from 1 species
CAUUGAUUAGUUUAAGUUUUUAAAAUUAAAAUACUAAUUUUGGGGAUUAGAGAUAUUUAGUGUAUUGGUGC